rnacentral:rRNA from 1 species
GACGAACGCUGGCGGCGUGCUUAACACAUGCAAGUCGAGCGGUAAGGCCCGUUUCGGGGGUACACGAGCGGCGAACGGGUGAGUAACACGUGGGUGACCUGCCCUCAGCUCUGGGAUAAGCCUGGGAAACCGGGUCUAAUACUGGAUAUGACUCCAUGACGCAUGUUGUGGGGUGGAAAGCCUUGUGCGGCUGAGGAUGGGCCCGCGGCCUAUCAGCUUGUUGGGGGGUGAUGGCCUACCAAGGCGACGACGGGUAGCCGGCCUGAGAGGGCGGACCGGCCACACUGGGACGUGAGACACGGCCCAGACUCCUACGGGAGGCAGCAGUGGGGAAUCUUGCGCAAUGGGCGAAAGCCUGACGCAGCGACGCCGCGUGAGGGAUGACGG